GGAACAAGCAUGGAAGCAACCCUCCGACAAGGAAAAGAAACCCCAAACAUUAGUCAUUCCCAAAUUCACCAGGUAUAUGCAUUUUAAUGAGUACAUGUAAAUAUUAUUUAUAUUUGCUUAUUACUGGAAAUUCUUCAAAUUUAAUUAAAUAUAAAGAUUGGAGACUUUGAUUAUCGUCUAGGGUUUUUUUAACCUGUUUUUUUUUUUCUUUUUUCUUUUAUCAUGCAUGUUGCAUGUCAUAUAAGGAUUGGGUUAAUAAUGUUAGACUUAAAUCUUCAUCUUUUCCAAAAUAUAUAUAUAGGUUUCUUUUUUUUUCAUUAAGUAAAUAGAUUUUUUUAUGAAUUUGCAGAAAAUGAGAUGUUAGCUGUAUACGUGGAAUAUUCAUUUGAGCAAGAAUAUGAAGACAUGAGCCACAACUUGAAGGUACCAAAAACGAGGUUAUGAAAAACCUCGACCUCAGACCUUAAAUGAGGUUUACAGAUGUGGUGCUUCCACUAGCCAAAAGUUGAUGUAUUUACAAAAGAAAAUAUAAAGAUGAAAUGAAGUUUUAGUUGAUAUGAUAAAAAUAUUAAAAAUGAUAAUGUUUUGGGUUAGAAUAAAUUAAGAUCUAGUUGAAAUGUGACACUAAACGAUCUAAUUUAAGUUACUUUAUAAAAAUAUACUCUUUAGUUUGAUUUAGAAAGAUAAAAUUUUUUUAGCCUUUGAUUUUUUUUUUAUUUUAAAUAUGUUGUAUUUGAAGGAACAUUGGAUAUUCACUUGAAUAUUCAAAAGGAGAUCAAAAUCCUUAAAUGCAAUGUUGUUCAAUACUAUAUUUUUAUAAUCCUAACAUAUGUAAGCAUGUAUAUGUAUAUUUAUCUGCAACUUCCACGGUUGAAAUUUUGGAG
rnacentral:lncRNA from 1 species